AACGAACGCUGGCGGCAGACCUAACACAUGCAAGUCGAACGCCGUAGCAAUACGGAGUGGCAGACGGGUGAGUAACGCGUGGGAACCUUCCCUAUGGUUCGGAAUAGCUCAGGGAAACCUGGGGUAAUACCGGAUAAGCCCUUCGGGGGAAAGAUUUAUCGCCAUUGGAUGGGCCCGCGUCGGAUUAGCUAGUUGGUAGGGUAACGGCCUACCAAGGCGACGAUCCGUAGCUGGUCUGAGAGGAUGAUCAGCCACACUGGGACUGAGACACGGCCCAGACUCCUACGGGAGGCAGCAGUGGGGAAUAUUGGACAAUGGGCGAAAGCCUGAUCCAGCCAUGCCGCGUGAGUGACGAAGGCCUUAGGGUUGUAAAGCUCUUUUGGCGGGGAAGAUAAUGACGGUACCCGCAGAAUAAGCUCCGGCUAACUUCGUGCCAGCAGCCGCGGUAAAAC
rnacentral:rRNA from 1 species